rnacentral:rRNA from 1 species
ACGCUCGACACCUACGGGACAGCAGUGGGGAAUAUUGCACAAUGGGGGAAACCCUGAUGCAGCAACGCCGCGUGAAGGAAGACGGUUUUCGGAUUGUAAACUUCUGUUCUUAGUGAAGAUAGUGACGGUAGCUAAGGAGCAAGCCACGGCUAACUACGUGCCGGCAGCCGCGGUAAUCUGAGCGGGCUGGCAAGGC